rnacentral:lncRNA from 1 species
GUAGGGGCCUCCCCGCGGCGCCUGAGAGCCGGGUCCGCGCGCAGAGGCCCUGGGGGCGCGCGUGCCGGGGGCGCGCUGGCCAGCUGUGACUGCCGCUGAGGGAGCUGCGCGGCGCCUCUGGGAGCCGAGCGCCGGGCGCCUGGAGGGCAGGUCGGGUCUCUUGCCGCUAAGGUCAGCGGCUGCGGUUUGAGAAGACUGCAGCUGCUUCCUGUGUUAGGCUGUCGCAGACAAGCAGAAGUUGAAAACGAGUAAAUGACUUAAAGAGAUGGGGUCUCACUAUGUUGCCCAGGGUUACUGCCAUACUUGUGGAUUG